AUUGAACGCUGGCGGAAUGCUUUACACAUGCAAGUCGAACGGCAGCACGGGGGCAACCCUGGUGGCGAGUGGCGAACGGGUGAGUAAUACAUCGGAACGUGCCCAGUCGUGGGGGAUAACGUAGCGAAAGUUACGCUAAUACCGCAUACGAUCUACGGAUGAAAGCGGGGGACCGUAAGGCCUCACGCGAUUGGAGCGGCCGAUGUCAGAUUAGGUAGUUGGUGAGGUAAAGGCUCACCAAGCCGACGAUCUGUGGCUGGUCUGAGAGGACGACCAGCCACACUGGGACUGAGACACGGCCCAGACUCCUACGGGAGGCAGCAGUGGGGAAUUUUGGACAAUGGGCGCAAGCCUGAUCCAGCCAUUCCGCGUGCAGGACGAAGGCCUUCGGGUUGUAAACUGCUUUUGUACGGAACGAAAAGGCUCUGGUUAAUACCUGGGGCUCAUGACGGUACCGUAAGAAUAAGCACCGGCUAACUACGUGCCAGCAGCCGCCGUAA
rnacentral:rRNA from 1 species